UACGAAGGGGGCGAGCGUUGUUCGGAAUUACUGGGCGUAAAGGGCGCGCAGGCGGCCUUAGAAGUCAGAUGUGAAAGCCCCGGGCUCAACCUGGGAAUGGCAUUUGAUACUCUGAGGCUGGAGUACGGGAGAGGAGAGUGGAAUUCCCAGUGUAGAGGUGAAAUUCGUAGAUAUUGGGAAGAACACCGGUGGCGAAGGCGGCUCUCUGGACCGUAACUGACGCUGAGGCGCGAAAGCGUGGGGAGCAAACAGG
rnacentral:rRNA from 2 species